rnacentral:rRNA from 1 species
AACGAACGCUGGCGGCAGGCUUAACACAUGCAAGUCGAACGCCCCGCAAGGGGAGUGGCAGACGGGUGAGUAACGCGUGGGAACGUGCCCUUCGCUUCGGAAUAGCCCCGGGAAACUGGGAGUAAUACCGGAUACGCCGCAUUGGGAAAGAUUUAUCGGCGAAGGAUCGGCCCGCGUUGGAGUAGCUAGUUGGAGGUGUAAUGGACCCCCAAGGCUACGAUCCAUAGCUGGUCUGAGAGGAUGAUCAGCCACACUGGGACUGAGACACGGCCCAGACUCCUACGGGAGGCAGCAGUGGGGAAUCUUGGACAAUGGGCGCAAGCCUGAUCCAGCCAUGCCGCGUGAGUGAAGAAGGCCUUAGGGUUGUAAAACUCUUUCGCCGGAGAAGAUAAUGACGGUAUCCGGAGAAGAAGCCCCGGCUAACUUCGUGCCAGCCGCCGCAGUAAUAC